rnacentral:rRNA from 1 species
AGAGUUUGAUCCUGGCUCAGGAUGAACGCUGGCGGCGUGCCUAACACAUGCAAGUCGAGCGUGAUUGUUAUGAGUGGAGACUUCGGUCAAAGCGAUUAACAUGAAAGCGGCGGACGGGUGAGUAACGCGUGGGCAACCUGCCCCAUACACGAGGAUAGCCACUGGAAACGGUGAUUAAUACUCGAUAAGACCACACUGCCACAUGGUAGAGCGGCCAAAGAUUUAUCGGUAUGGGAUGGGCCCGCGUCUGAUUAGCUAGUUGGUGAGGUAACGGCUCACCAAGGCGACGAUCAGUAACCGACCUGAGAGGGCGGACGGUCACACUGGAACUGAGACA